AGAAUCAACGCUGGCGGCGUGCCUAACACAUGCAAGUCGAACGAGAAAGUGGUAGCAAUACCAUGAGUAAAGUGGCGCACGGGUGAGUAACACGUGACUAACCUACCCUUGAGUGGGGGAUAACUGAGGGAAACCUUAGCUAAUACCGCAUAAUACCCACGGGUCAAAGGAGCAAUUCGCUCGAGGAGGGGGUCGCGGCCGAUUAGUUAGUUGGCGGGGUAAUGGCCCACCAAGACGAUGAUCGGUAUCCGGCCUGAGAGGGCGCACGGACACACUGGAACUGAAACACGGUCCAGACUCCUACGGGAGGCAGCAGUGGGGAAUUUUGCGCAAUGGGGGAAACCCUGACGCAGCAACGCCGCGUGGAGGAUGAAGUCCUUCGGGACGUAAACUCCUUUCGAUCGGGACGAUUAUGACGGUACCGGAAGAAGAAGCCCCGGCUAACUUCGUGCCAGCAGCCGC
rnacentral:rRNA from 1 species